GGCUCGGUGGCGGAGCUGGUCCGCCGCGCCCGGCUCUCCCGCGCCUGGCUGGUGCGGCUGGCCGAGGCGGGCGCGCUCGGCGCGCUCGCGCCC
rnacentral:tRNA from 1 species